AAAAACUUAAAAAAACCAAGGGCAAAAAAUUUUAGAGUCCACGCACGAGACAGGAUUUAUAAAAGUUCAAGGGUUCAAACGCAACGCUCAGUGAGUGCGAAUCAUCCAUUGCGUUUGAUUCAGUACGCAACAAGUGGGGAUAGAGGGCGAAUCAUGUCGUGGAUACUUUCUUUGAAAAUUUUCAUCCUUCUGAUUGUUAUAGUGUCUUCGGCCAAGAACAAAAAACAAAGUCCCUGCGAAGGCGCGACGGGGGAUGCAGUCCCGGCAUGCAAUCAGCUUUGCGCUGAUAGAUACAAGUCUAUCACGAGAGGCCGCCACCGCACCGUCGCGUCGCCGCUGCACCACGUCGAGAGCUCGGGUCUGCUCUGAUUUUUCCGCCCGGCUGAGCCCGAAAACGAAUCUGAAAUUACAAUGCUGAACCGGCUGGCUCCUUGAUCCUACGCUCCCAAGGUUGACGCCGUGCAAAAAUUGGGUAACAUUCCUGAGACGCGAUAGAGACGUGUUUUGCCA
rnacentral:lncRNA from 1 species